AGAGUUUGAUCCUGGCUCAGGAUGAACGCUGGCUACAGGCUUAACACAUGCAAGUCGCGGGGCAGCAUGUGGGUUGCUUGCAAUCCACGAUGGCGACCGGCGCACGGGUGAGUAACGCGUAUCCAACCUGCCCCUUCCCCCGGGACAGCCCGUAGAAAUGCGGAUUAAUCCGGGAUGCGGUGCGGUGACGGCAUCAGAGCCGCACGAAAGGCUUCUGCCGGGAAGGGAUGGGGAUGCGUCCGAUUAGCUUGACGGCGGGGCAACGGCCCACCGUGGCGACGAUCGGUAGGGGCCCUGAGAGGGGAAUCCCCCACAUUGGGACUGAGACACGGCCCAAACUCCUACGGGAGGCAGCAGUGAGGAAUAUUGGUCAAUGGGCGGAAGCCUGAACCAGCCAAGUAGCGUGGGGGAGGAAGGCCCUACGGGUUGUAAACCCCUUUUGUGCGGGAACAAAGUGCGCCACGUGUGGCGUUUUGCGUGUACCGCACGAAUAAGGACCGGCUAAUUCCGUGCCAGCAGCCGCGGUAAUACGGAAGGUCCGGGCGUUAUCCGGAUUUAUUGGGUUUAAAGGGAGCGUAGGCCGGAGAUUAAGCGUGUUGUGAAAUGUAGACGCUCAACGUCUGCACUGCAGCGCGAACUGGUUUCCUUGAGUACGCACAAAGUGGGCGGAAUUCGUGGUGUAGCGGUGAAAUGCUUAGAUAUCACGAAGAACUCCGAUUGCGAAGGCAGCUUGCUGGACUGUAACUGACGCUGAUGCUCGAAAGUGUGGGUAUCAAACAGGAUUAGAUACCCUGGUAGUCCACACAGUAAACGAUGAAUACUCGCUGUUUGCGAUAUACAGUAAGCGGCCAAGCGAAAGCGUUAAGUAUUCCACCUGGGGAGUACGCCGGCAACGGU
rnacentral:rRNA from 1 species